rnacentral:rRNA from 1 species
ACGAACGCUGGCGGCGUGCUUAACACAUGCCAGUCGAACGGAAAGGCCCUGCUUUUGUGGGGUUCUCGAGUGGCGAACGGGUGAGUAACACGUGAGUAACCUGCCCUUUACUUUGGGAUAACUUCAGGAAACUGGGGCUAAUACCGGAUAGGAGCUCCUGCUUCCUGGUUGGGGUUGGAAAGUUUCGGCGGUUGGGGAUGGACUCGCGGCUUAUCAGCUUGUUGGUGGGGUAGUGGCUUACCAAGGCUUUGACGGGUAGCCGGCCUGAGAGGGUGACCGGCCACAUUGGGACUGAGAUACGGCCCAGACUCCUACGGGAGGCAGCAGUGGGGAAUAUUGCACAAUGGGCGGAAGCCUGAUGCAGCAACGCCGCGUGCGGGAUGACGGCCUUCGGGUUGUAAACCGCUUUCGCCUGUGACGAAGCGUGAGUGACGGUAAUGGGUAAAGAAGCACCGGCUAACUACGUG